UACGUAGGGCGCAAGCGUUAUCCGGAAUUAUUGGGCGUAAAGAGCUCGUAGGCGGUUUGUCGCGUCUGCCGUGAAAGUCCCGGGGCUCAACUCCGGAUCUGCGGUGGGUACGGGCAGACUAGAGUGAUGUAGGGGAGACUGGAAUUCCUGGUGUAGCGGUGAAAUGCGCAGAUAUCAGGAGGAACACCGAUGGCGAAGGCAGGUCUCUGGGCAUUAACUGACGCUGAGGAGCGAAAGCCAGGGGAGCAAACGGG
rnacentral:rRNA from 1 species